rnacentral:rRNA from 1 species
GAUGAACGCUGUCGGCGUGCCUAAUACAUGCAAGUCGAGCGAACGGACGAGAAGCUUGCUUCUCUUAUGUUAGCGGCGGACGGGUGAGUAACACGUGGAUAACCUACCUAUAAGACUGGGAUAACUUCGGGAAACCGGAGCUAAUACCGGAUAAUAUUUUGAACCGCAUGGUUCAAAAGUGAAAGACGGUCUUGCUGUCACUUAUAGAUGGAUCCGCGCUGCAUUAGCUAGUUGGUAAGGUAACGGCUUACCAAGGCAACGAUGCAUAGCCGACCUGAGAGGGUGAUCGGCCACACUGGAACUGAGACACGGUCCAGACUCCUACGGGAGGCAGCAGUAGGGAAUCUUCCGCAAUGGGCGAAAGCCUGACGGAGCAACGCCGCGUGAGUGAUGAAGGUCUUCGGAUCGUAAAACUCUGUUAUUAGGGAAGAACAUAUGUGUAAGUAACUGUGCACAUCUUGACGGUACCUAAUCAGAAAGCCACGGCUAACUACGUG